rnacentral:rRNA from 1 species
CAAAGAGUGGCGAACGGGUGAGUAACACGUGGGUCCCCUACCUCUUAGCAGGGGAUAACAUUUGGAAACAAGUGCUAAUACCGUAUAAUACUAACAACCGCAUGGUUGUUAGUUGAAAGAUGGUUCUGCUAUCACUAAGAGAUGGACCCGCGGUGCAUUAGCUAGUUGGUAAGGUAAUGGCUUACCAAGGCGAUGAUGCGUAGCCGAGUUGAGAGACCGAUCGGCCACAAUGGGACUGAGACACGGCCCAUACUCCUACGGGAGGCAGCAGUAGGGAAUCUUCCACAAUGGGCGCAAGCCUGAUGGAGCAACGCCGCGUGUGUGAUGAAGGGUUUCGGCUCGUAAAACACUGUUAUAAGAGAAGAACGACAUUGAGAGUAACUGUUCAGUGUGUGACGGUAUCUUAUCAGAAAGGAACGGCUAAAUACGUGCCAGCAGCCGCGGUAAUACGUAUGUUCCAAGCGUUAUCCGGAUUUAUUGGGCGUAAAGCGAGCGCAGACGGUUAUUUAAGUCUGAAGUGAAAGCCCUCAGCUCAACUGAGGAAGGGCUUUGGAAACUGGAUAACUUGAGUGCAGUAGAGGAAAGUGGAACUCCAUGUGUAGCGGUGAAAUGCGUAGAUAUAUGGAAGAACACCGGUGG